rnacentral:rRNA from 1 species
GUGGGGAAUCUUGCGCAAUGGGCGAAAGCCUGACGCAGCCAUGCCGCGUGAAUGAUGAAGGUCUUAGGAUUGUAAAAUUCUUUCACCGGGGACGAUAAUGACGGUACCUGGAGAAUAAGCCACGGCUAACUACGUGCCAGCAGCCGCGGUAAUACGUAGGUGGCAAGCGUUGUCCGGAUUUACUGGGUGUAAAGGGCGCGUAGGCGGGAGAGCAAGUCAGGAGUGAAAUCUAUGGGCUUAACCCAUAAAUUGCUUUUGAAACUGUUUUUCUUGAGUGAUGGAGAGGCAAGCGGAAUUCCUAGUGUAGCGGUGAAAUGCGUAGAUAUUAGGAGGAACACCAGUGGCGAAGGCGGCUUGCUGGACAUUAACUGACGCUGAUGCGCGAAAGCGUGGGGAGCAAACAGGAUUAGAAACCCGGGUAGUCC